UACGUAGGGGGCAAGCGUUGUCCGGAUUUAUUGGGCGUAAAGAGCGUGUAGGCGGCUAUACAGGUCCGUUGUGAAAACUCGAGGCUCAACCUCGAGACGCCGAUGGAAACCAUGUGGCUAGAGUCCGGAAGAGGCGAGUGGAAUUCCUGGUGUAGCGGUGAAAUGCGCAGAUAUCAGGAGGAACACCAAUGGCGAAGGCAGCUCGCUGGGACGGUACUGACGCUGAGACGCGAAAGCGUGGGGAGCAAACAGG
rnacentral:rRNA from 1 species